GGGGGGGGGGGGGGGGGGGGGGGGGGGGGGGAAGGCGGACGGGGGCGGGGGGAGAGGGGGCUCGUACGGGGGGCGAGUGGCGGGCGGGGGGGGAAGCCGUAGUAAGCUGAGUAUGAGGGGGGGAGAAAGUAGGGAAGCUUACGAUAAUACCGCAUACGACCUACGGGUGCAAGCAGAGGAUCUUCGGACGUUGAGCGACUGAAUGCGCCGAUGUCGGCUUGGCUAGUUCGCGGGGUAGAGGCCCACCAAGGCGACCAUCCGUAGAGGGUCUGAGAGGGUGAUCAGCCACACUGUAACUGAGACACGGUCCAGACUCCUACGGGAGGCCGCAGUGGGGAAUAUUGGACAAUGGGCGCAAUCCUGAUCCAGCCAUGCCGCGUUGGUGAAGAAGGCCUUCGGGUUGUAAAGCCCUUUUGUUGGGAAAGAAAAGAAGCAGGUUAAUACCCCGCUGUUCUGACGGUACCCAAAGAAUAAGCACCGGCUAACUUCGUG
rnacentral:rRNA from 1 species